rnacentral:tRNA from 1 species
GGGGAUGUAGCUCAGUGGUAGAGCGCAUGCUUUGCAUGGGUUCAAUCCCCAGCAUCUCCA